UACAGAGGUCUCAAGCGUUGUUCGGAUUCAUUGGGCGUAAAGGGUGCGUAGGUGGCGCCGUAAGUCAGGUGUGAAAUUUCGGAGCUUAACUCCGAAACUGCAUUUGAUACUGCGGUGCUUGAGGACUGGAGAGGAGACUGGAAUUUAUGGUGUAGCAGUGAAAUGCGUAGAUAUCAUAAGGAAGACCAGUGGCGAAGGCGGGUCUCUGGACAGUUCCUGACACUGAGACACGAAGGCCAGGGGAGCAAACGGG
rnacentral:rRNA from 1 species